UACAGAGGUGGCGAGCGUUGUUCGGAUUUACUGGGCGUAAAGGGUGCGUAGGUGGUCGCCUGUGUCGGGUGUGAAAGCCCACGGCUUAACCGUGGAACGGCAUUCGAAACUGGGUGACUUGAGUGCAGGAGGGGAGAGCGGAAUUCUUGGUGUAGCGGUGAAAUGCGUUGAUAUCAAGAAGAACACCGGUGGCGAAGGCGGCUCUCUGGAAUGCUACUGACACUGAGGCACGAAAGCUGGGGGAGCAAACAGG
rnacentral:rRNA from 1 species